rnacentral:rRNA from 1 species
UGGGGAAUAUUGCACAAUGGGCGCAAGCCUGAUGCAGCCAUGCCGCGUGUAUGAAGAAGGCCUUCGGGUUGUAAAGUACUUUCAGCGGGGAGGAAGGCGAUAAGGUUAAUAACCUUGUCGAUUGACGUUACCCGCAGAAGAAGCACCGGCUAACUCCGUGCCAGCAGCCGCGGUAAUACGGAGGGUGCAAGCGUUAAUCGGAAUUACUGGGCGUAAAGCGCACGCAGGCGGUCUGUCAAGUCGGAUGUGAAAUCCCCGGGCUCAACCUGGGAAGUGCAUUCGAAACUGGCAGGCUAGAGUCUUGUAGAGGGGGGUAGAAUUCCAGGUGUAGCGGUGAAAUGCGUAG